AUAAUCGUCUUGUUAGACUGGAACUUUUCGAUGUCAUUUCUGAGAGAGAAGUCUCUGUUAAUUAGGCUAACAAUUCUGCAUUGUUUGAAGUAUUACAUUAUGUUUUUCAGCAAUGGAUGGAUUUAACCUUUCAUGAUUAAUCGGGCACCUCUGAGGGCCACUAAUGAAGAAAAGUGAAGACUAAGAUGUAACUUCUUAAGUCUGCAAAAGGUUUGAAAUGAAGUAAACUGCAUACAAUCCAAGGAGUGGAAAUUCUGGAUGACAACUGUUCAUAACUGUUCAUUACAUUUCUGUAUGCAGCAUU